CUGAUGCAGCCAUGCCGCGUGUGUGAAGAAGGCCUUCGGGUUGUAAAGCACUUUCAGUUGUGAGGAAAAGUUAGUAGUUAAUACCUGCUAGCCGUGACGUUAACAACAGAAGAAGCACCGGCUAACUCCGUGCCAGCAGCCGCGGUAAUACGGAGGGUGCGAGCGUUAAUCGGAAUUACUGGGCGUAAAGCGCACGCAGGCGGUUUGUUAAGCUAGAUGUGAAAGCCCCGGGCUCAACCUGGGACGGUCAUUUAGAACUGGCAGACUAGAGUCUUGGAGAGGGGAGUGGAAUUCCAGGUGUAGCGGUGAAAUGCGUAGAUAUCUGGAGGAACAUCAGUGGCGAAGGCGACUCCCUGGCCAAAGACUGACGCUCAUGUGCGAAAGUGUGGGUAGCGAACAGGAUUAGAUACCCUGGUAGUCCACACCGUAAACGCUGUCUACUAGCUGUUUGUGGCUUUAAGCCGUGAGUAGCGAAGCUAACGCGAUAAGUAGACCGCCUGGGGAGUACGGCCGCAAGGUUAAAACUCAAAUG
rnacentral:rRNA from 1 species